AGCUAUCCGCAUGCGAAGUUUCUCUUGUACAUUACGAAGACAUGGGGAUCCCGAAAGAUGUGGCAAAACUGGGCGUUCGUCACGGCAUGUGGGGAGCUGUAAAAAAGUUACACUCAGGCAUGAGGGCGUACCAGAGUGCAAGAAAAACCGAUACUUCAUUGUCUAAAUGUGCACUCAUGGCAAGAAUUACAACAAAGAUCUCUUGUGAUGAGAACAUAAGUUCUCCCGGUUCCGGUCAUGUUUCAAGGGAAGAUGAAAACAGUCAAAGUACGGUUAUUAUUAAGAGGAAGAACG
rnacentral:lncRNA from 1 species